UCUGGGAAACUGCCUGAUGGAGGGGGAUAACUACUGGAAACGGUGGCUAAUACCGCAUAACGUCGCAAGACCAAAGAGGGGGACCUUCGGGCCUCUUGCCAUCAGAUGUGCCCAGAUGGGAUUAGCUAGUUGGUGAGGUAACGGCUCACCAAGGCGACGAUCCCUAGCUGGUCUGAGAGGAUGACCAGCCACACUGGAACUGAGACACGGUCCAGACUCCUACGGGAGGCA
rnacentral:rRNA from 1 species